rnacentral:rRNA from 1 species
GUGGGGAAUUUUGGACAAUGGGCGAAAGCCUGAUCCAGCAAUGCCGCGUGUGUGAAGAAGGCCUUCGGGUUGUAAAGCACUUUUGUCCGGAAAGAAAUCCUUUGGGUUAAUACCUCGGAGGGAUGACGGUACCGGAAGAAUAAGGACCGGCUAACUACGUGCCAGCAGCCGCGGUAAUACGUAGGGUCCGAGCGUUAAUCGGAAUUACUGGGCGUAAAGCGUGCGCAGGCGGUUUUGUAAGACAGAUGUGAAAUCCCCGGGCUUAACCUGGGAAUUGCAUUUGUGACUGCGAGGCUAGAGUGUGUCAGAGGGGGGUAGAAUUCCACGUGUAGCAGUGAAAUGCGUAGAGAUGUGGAGGAAUACCGAUGGCGAAGGCAGCCCCCUGGGAUAACACUGACGCUCAUGCACGAAAGCGUGGGGAGCAAACAGGAUUAGAUACCCCGGUAGUCC